rnacentral:rRNA from 1 species
AACGAACGCUGGCGGCAUGCCUAACACAUGCAAGUCGAACGAGACCUUCGGGUCUAGUGGCGCACGGGUGCGUAACGCGUGGGAACCUGCCCUUAGGUUCGGAAUAACUCCCCGAAAGGGGUGCUAAUACCGGAUAAUGUCUUCGGACCAAAGAUUUAUCGCCUUUGGAUGGGCCCGCGUUGGAUUAGCUAGUUGGUAGGGUAAAAGCCUACCAAGGCCACGAUCCAUAGCUGGUCUGAGAGGAUGAUCAGCCACACUGGGACUGAGACACGGCCCAGACUCCUACGGGAGGCAGCAGUGGGGAAUAUUGGACAAUGGGCGAAAGCCUGAUCCAGCAAGGCCGCGUGAGUGAUGAAGGCCUUAGGGUUGUAAAGCUCUUUUACCCGGGAUGAUAAUGACAGUACCGGGAGAAUAAGCUCCGGCGAACUCCGU